rnacentral:rRNA from 1 species
GACGAACGCUGGCGGCGUGCCUAAUACAUGCAAGUCGAGCGGAACUGGGGGAGCUUGCUCCUUCCAGUUUAGCGGCGGACGGGUGAGUAACACGUGGGCAACCUGCCCUGCAGAUCGGGAUAACUCCGGGAAACCGGUGCUAAUACCGAAUAGUUUGGCGCCUCGCCUGAGGCGCCACGGAAAGACGGUUUCGGCUGUCACUGCAGGAUGGGCCCGCGGCGCAUUAGCUAGUUGGUGGGGUAACGGCCCACCAAGGCGACGAUGCGUAGCCGACCUGAGAGGGUGACCGGCCACACUGGGACUGAGACACGGCCCAGACUCCUACGGGAGGCAGCAGUAGGGAAUCUUCCGCAAUGGACGCAAGUCUGACGGAGCAACGCCGCGUGAGUGACGAAGGUUUUCGGAUCGUAAAACUCUGUUGUGAGGGAAGAACACGUACCAACUAACUAUUGGUACCUUGACGGUACCUCACCAGAAAGCCACGGCUAACUACGUGCCAGCCGCCGCAGUAA